rnacentral:rRNA from 1 species
UACGGGGGGAGCAAGCGUUGUUCGGAUUUACUGGGCGUAAAGGGUGCGUAGGCGGCGCGGUAAGUCGGGUGUGAAAUCUCGGAGCUUAACUCCGAAACUGCAUUCGAUACUGCCGUGCUUGAGGACUGGAGAGGAGACUGGAAUUUACGGUGUAGCGGUGAAAUGCGUAGAUAUCGUAAGGAAGACCAGUGGCGAAGGCGGGUCUCUGGACCGGUUCUGACGCUGAUGCGCGAAAGCGUGGGUAGCAAACAGG